GUGUGAAGGCGGAGACCCGUCAACGCUAGCGCUCCUUCGAUGGAGUAACAACCCAGCUGAGAUCCAUGUACAUCAGAACAGGUUUGAGUGGGGAAUAUGGGUGUGGAGAAUCACAGCCCAGUAGUUGACGUGUAGAUGAUUCCCAAUCCCAGCCGAUCUCCAGCCUGCUGCACACACACGGAUACUGUCUGUCUGUCCGGCAGGCCCAGUCCACGGCCCUCUUCACUGCUUCCCAGUACAUCGGUCUGAAUGGAGAAGAGUAGAAAGCCAUGGAUCCAAAAAUACAAGAGUAAAUCACGGCGCUGCAUGAGGACGUGUGCUGGUACCUGGGCUCCUGGGACUCUUUCAGCCGGAGGAGAGACUCGAGCAGCUGUCCCACUGCCAGCUUCUUCACCCGGAUCAACUGCAGCACCAGCAGAGUCGCCACCAGCCUCAGAAUGUCAGCAUGAGCCUUCACACC